GCUCUGGGGUGUUACAUAUUAGAUUGCAAAUCUGAAGAAGCAGGCUAAUCGCCUGCCGGGGCUUU
rnacentral:tRNA from 1 species